GUACGGUAUUCGGGAUACUGGGCGUAAGCGUGCGCAGGCGGUUUGCUAAGACCGAUGUGAAAUCCCCGGGCUCAACCUGGGAACUGCAUUGCUGACUGGCAGGCUAGAGUGUGGCAGAGGGGGGUAGAAUUCCACGUGUAGCAGUGAAAUGCGUAGAGAUGUGGAGGAAUACCGAUGGCGAAGGCAGCCCCCUGGGCCAAUACUGACGCUCAUGCACGAAAGCGUGGGGAGCAAACAGGAUUAGAUACCCUGGUAGUCCACGCCCUAAACGAUGUCAACUAGUUGUUGGGGAUUCAUUUCCUUAGUAACGUAGCUAACGCGUGAAGUUGACCGCCUGGGGAGUACGGUCGCAAGAUUAAAACUCAAAGGAAUUGACGGGGACCCGCACAAGCGGUGGAUGAUGUGGAUUAAUUCCAUGCAACGCGAAAAACCUUACCUACCCUUGACAUGGUCGGAAUCCUGCUGAAAAGCGGGAGUGCUCAAAAGAGAACCGGCGCACAGGUGCUGCAUGGCUGUCGUCAGCUCGUGUCGGGAGAUGUUGGGGUUAAUUCCCGCAACGAGCGCAACCCU
rnacentral:rRNA from 1 species